UGGGGAAUAUUGGAUAAUGGGGGGAACCCUGAUCCAGCCAUGCCGCGUGUGUGAAGAAGUCCUUAUGGUUGUAAAGCACUUUAAGCGAGGAGGAGGGUACUGGUAUUAAUACUACCAGGUACUGGACGUUACUCGCAGAAUAAGCACCGGCUAACUCUGUGCCAGCAGCCGCGGUAAUACAGAGGGUGCGGGCGUUAAUCGGAUUUACUGGGCGUAAAGCGUGCGUAGGCGGCUAAUUGAGUCGGAUGUGAAAUCCCCGAGCUUAACUUGGGAAUUGCAUUCGAUACUGGUUAGCUAGCGUGUGGGAGAGGAUGGUAGAAUUCCAGGUGUAGCGGUGAAAUGCGUAGAGAUCUGGAGGAAUACCGAUGGCGAAGGCAGCCAUCUGGCCUAACACUGACGCUGAGGUACGAAAGCAUGGGGAGCAAACAGG
rnacentral:rRNA from 1 species